rnacentral:rRNA from 1 species
AGAACGAACGCUGGCGGCAGGCUUAACACAUGCAAGUCGAGCGCCCCGCAAGGGGAGCGGCAGACGGGUGAGUAACGCGUGGGAACAUACCCUCCGGUUCGGAAUAGCUCAGGGAAACUUGGAUUAAUACCGGAUACGGUCGAGAGGCGAAAGAUUUAUCGCCGGAGGAUUGGCCCGCGUUCGAUUAGCUAGUUGGUGAGGUAACGGCUCACCAAGGCGACGAUCGAUAGCUGGUCUGAGAGGAUGAUCAGCCACAUUGGGACUGAGACACGGCCCAAACUCCUACGGGAGGCAGCAGUGGGGAAUAUUGGACAAUGGGCGCAAGCCUGAUCCAGCCAUGCCGCGUGAGUGAUGACGGCCUUAGGGUUGUAAAGCUCUUUCGCUAGGGACGAUAAUGACGGUACCUAGACAAGAAGCCCGGCUAACUUCGUGCCAGCAGCCGC